rnacentral:rRNA from 1 species
UACGUAGGGUGCAAGCGUUGUCCGGAAUUAUUGGGCGUAAAGAGCUCGUAGGCGGUUUGUUGCGUCGGCUGUGAAAUCCCGAGGCUCAACCCCGGGUCUGCAGUCGAUACGAGCAAACUAGAGUGUUGCAGGGGAGACUGGAAUUCCUGGUGUAGCGGUGAAAUGCGCAGAUAUCAGGAGGAACACCGGUGGCGAAGGCGGGUCUCUGGGCAACAACUGACGCUGAGGAGCGAAAGCGUGGGGAGCGAACAGG